UGAAACAUUCUUUGGAAUAUAAUCCUGACACUUUGCAGUAUCUUAGAAAAAUAUACAAUUUGGAUAGUCAAGAAAGAAUAGAUGAAGCUAUUGAUAUUUUAGUAAAAUGGAUUCAAAAACAGGAACACUUCGUUAAGAAGGAAUAUUGUAAACACUCGCUGGAAAGAUGUUUAUUGAGUAGUAAAGGUUCUAUAGAAAGGCUAAAGGAAAAAUUGGACAAAGUAGCUACUUUUAAAACU
rnacentral:misc_RNA from 1 species